UUAGUUCAUCACAGUUUGUCGCGAGAAUCGGACCUGGCUCUGCGUUCCGUCGUCGGUUCCCGGUUUGACGUCGGUGUGUGUUCAGCUAAUCGGCGUUGCGAGAAAGAAGCAAGAUAUUUUUAGCUUUUAAUUCCUUGCAAUUUUUUUUUGUUCGUUUCGCUCGUCCGGUCGACGACAGAAGAGCGCCGUACCAAUUCCUCGUCGCUGCAGGUUCGAAUCCCGGUGCAAUUGUUCCGUCGUUCGUUGUGAAACGUGUGUGUGUGUGUGCGGCCGCGAAAGAGGUGCGGUUCUCGACGGGGUAUUUAGUUCUACCGGAAUUCCGACCAAGAAGAAAGUGUCAACUCUUGUGGCGGCCGAAAAUAAGCUCGGGUUGGCGAAAUUGUGAUUUUCUGCGGCGCUGUCUGCGUGGCGCGGCCAAAAAGAGAAAGCACCAAAAAUCAUCCGAUCUGCACACGUAAACACACACUUUUUGUUUGUCUGUGCCGGGAGUGAGCGAGAGAGAGAGAGAGCGCGCGUGUGAAUGCCGUCCAGCCAGGGCUACCAAAAGGUUGCGUCGGACCCAUCCGAAGCGGAGCUGGUCCAGAGAACCGCAGCAGGCGAAGAAAUGCCCUCGAUACAACAGCCAGAUACAGCCGUGACCGCCAAUCCGGCGGGGAAGAUUCCGGCCACAAACUCGCAGCAGCGGCUGAUGCCGGCCGAUUCGGAUUCGGUGUCCUCCUCGUUGGACGAGGGCGACCCGGAAGCGCCGCCGGGCGGUGGCCGGCUAGAGGACGACGAGGUGACGGUGGCCAGCUCGACGCAGGUGUCGGCCACGGCCUGGUUCACGGUGGGCGUGCUGUGCUUUGUCAAUCUGAUCAACUACAUGGAUCGGUUCACGAUUGCCGGCGUCCUCACGGACAUCCAGGAGCACUUCCAGAUCGGCGAUGACGAGGGUGGCCUGCUGCAGACGGCCUUCGUUCUGUCCUACAUGAUCUGUGCGCCCGUGUUUGGCUACCUCGGCGAUCGGUACUCGCGCAAGUGGAUCAUGGCGCUCGGGGUGUUCCUGUGGAGUACGACGACGUUGCUGGGCUCGUUUAUGCACCACUUUGGGUGGUUCAUCACGUUCCGGGCGCUGGUCGGUAUCGGCGAGGCGUCCUACAGUACGAUCGCGCCGACGAUCAUCUCGGAUCUGUUUGUGGGUGAUAUGCGGUCCAAGAUGCUGGCGCUGUUUUACUUUGCGAUCCCGGUGGGGUCGGGCUUUGGUUACAUCGUCGGCUCGGAGACGGCCAAAUUCUUCGGCAACUGGGUGUGGGCGUUGCGCGUCACUCCCGUCCUGGGCGUGAUCGCCGUCGUGCUGAUCGCCAUGCUGCGCGACCCAGAACGCGGUGCCAGCGAGGGAACCCACCACAUGCAGGCCACCUCGUACAGCGAGGACAUCAAGGCGAUCGUGCGCAACCCGUCCUUUAUGCUGUCGACGGCCGGCUUCACGUGCGUGGCGUUCGUGGCCGGAGCGCUGGCCUGGUGGGGACCGAAGUUCAUCUACCUGGGGCUGGUGUCGCAGCCAGGCAACGAAAACAUCACCCUGAACGACGUAUCGUACAAGUUUGGAAUUAUAGCGAUGACGGCUGGGUUGAUCGGCGUUCCGGCUGGGUCGUUUAUGGCGCGCAAGUUACGUCCCCUCUAUCCGACGUGCGAUCCGUUGAUCUGCGCCGGAGGUUUGUUCUGCAGCUCUCCGAUGAUCUAUCUGGCGCUGGUGGUGACCCGUUACAGCGGUGCUUGGUGCUUCUUCCUGGUGUUCUUCGCCGAGGUGUUCCUCAACCUGACCUGGUCGAUCGUGGCGGACAUGCUGCUGUACGUCGUAGUGCCGACGCGACGAUCCACGGCGGAAGCGUUCCAGAUUUUGAUUUCGCACGCGUUCGGUGAUGCCGGCAGUCCGUACUUUGUCGGAGUGAUUUCCGAGGCCAUCAAGCGGUUACUGCGGCUGUCGGCGAUCGGUGUCGCGGCCGUCUUUCCCGCAGAACUGUCCAGCUACUCACAGCUAGCGGAAAACGCAACCAUCACCUCCACGACAACGACCACUCUGGCCCCCCUCGUCAGCCAAAGCCCCCUGGCGGGAGCCGCCGACGGUGACAGCCAUGCCGUUCAGUUCCGGGCCCUGCAAUACGCCCUGUUCUCGACCAGCUUCGUCGAGGUCAUUGGCGGUGUGUUCUUCCUGCUGACGGCAAUGUACAUCCUGCGGGACCGACGGAACGUCGAGCGGGUUGUGGCAGGUUGCGAUCUAGAACUUAGCGAGAGUUCGUCGGGGUCGGAAACGCUCGAACCAAGCACGGCUCGGGAAUUGUCAGGAACUCAUCGCCUUCACCAUCAUCGCCGCCAUCAUCAGGACCGGCGCUCGAACUCUUCCUGCUCGUAACAGCAACAGCAGAUCGAGAUCAUUUAAUUGGUGGUGUCCUUUGGGUCCUAAUGCCGCGUCGAUGUUAACCCAAAGAGUGUGUUCUGUAGUAUUUCAAUGCACUGUGUAUAUUUAUAAUAGUACACAUUCGAACUUCAGAGCAAACAAACGUCAACAGGUUGCGGAAUUAGUUGCGCAACGUAGAAAACCAAACCACCAGCUCAUCGGCCCACCAGCUGAACAACUCCACUUCCAGUUCGUCCGUGUCGGAAUAGUAGAAGCGGCCCCAACUGGCCACCGGUGAUAACAACCCUAGCAGCAGCAGCAGCCACCGCCGCAGCAGCUUCUACCACAAUCAUCCAGCAGCAGCAACCCCAAAUGCUCAAUGCAAUAUUAAGAAGAUGAAAAAAUUAGGGGGUUUGUUUGUUCACUAAUGUCCUAAAGUAGAAGCAGUUAAAGCAGCAGCAGCUCCUCAUCAAAUUGUACAUACAUCCACUGUAGAGAGAGAGAGAGAAGGUUAAGGCGAAAUUUAUCAAACACACACACACACUCAUCUGCUUUUGUUUAAAGCAAACAAAGUUAGCCAAUAAUAUCGAUUGUUACUUUAGGGAGCGAAAGUUAGCGUGCAUAGAUUGAGAAAGAAGAGCAAAACAAAAAAGAAAAAUCACAGAUUAUCAACGACUGAAGACUAGUUUUACUGUAUUUACAUUUAGUGAGUCCCCGCUUUCCUCCCCCCAACUUAAGUUCCCUCCACAUUGUUUUUGGUGUCCUUUUUUCCUUCGGAAGAACGCUAAAGGUCUUGGGUUUUUCCUCUACUUGUUGUUGAACGGGGAUUUUUGGUGUAAUUUGGGAAAUGUGAAAUUUAUUAACACAACAAAAUCGGUAGGGACUUGUUCGAGAACGAUGCGAAUGAAAGUUGUUGAGCGGCAUAACUGUGUGAAUGAGUCCGGGUUGAAUUGUGCGCCCGAAAAGAACGAUUAACUUCUAAAUCUAGAGAGACUGCCUUUCGAUAAACAGACAAAAUCACACUUUGUAAGUAGGUAAAGCGGAGCGAAAUUAAUUCUCAAAAAAUUAAAAACAACAAAAAACUUACAGCUGUAAUGUUCACUUUGGUCAGACAAAAGUUCCAGAUAUAUUUUUUUUGUUGAAGAAAAGAUUAUUGCAAAGUCACAUAGUUUAAAAACAAUAGCGCUAGAAUAUUUAUUUAUCACUUACUACUAGGUUAAGGUGAUUUGGUCUGCACUAAUAAUGCGCGCUAAAUUGAAAGAAAAUCACAUUACAAGUAAGUUAAAAAUGGAUAAUAAAUAAUUUUACACAAAGUGA